rnacentral:rRNA from 1 species
UGGGGAAUUUUGGACAAUGGGGGCAACCCUGAUCCAGCCAUGCCGCGUGCGGGAAGAAGGCCUUCGGGUUGUAAACCGCUUUCAUACGGGACGAAAUGGACAAGGUUAAUAGCCUUGUUUGAUGACGGUACCGUAAGAAGAAGCACCGGCUAACUACGUGCCAGCAGCCGCGGUAAUACGUAGGGUGCGAGCGUUAAUCGGAAUUACUGGGCGUAAAGCGUGCGCAGGCGGCUCUUUAAGACAGGUGUGAAAUCCCCGGGCUUAACCUGGGAAUUGCGCUUGUGACUGGGGGGCUUGAGUGCGGCAGAGGGGGAUGGAAUUCCUGGUGUAGCAGUGAAAUGCGUAGAUAUCAGGAGGAACACCGAUGGCGAAGGCAGUCCCCUGGGUCGACACUGACGCUCAGGCACGAAAGCGUGGGGAGCAAACAGGAUUAGAUACCCGUGUAGUCC